CAAUAAAACAGAUGUCGCUCGCGCGUUGAAAUGAACGACAAAUUGAUAUUCGUUGGUGAAUGAAUUCUAUUCAUUAUCUAUUUCUAAGAAUUGUAGCAGUUAAAACUGUAAUCAGAAAAGUGUGUUAAUAAUUUCAAACCCUUAAAAAAGUGCGGUGAUGUAAUAUACAGCUCGGUAUAAUAACAUCGUGUUUGAUUUUGUGACUAGCAAUAUUAUUGGUUAUGUUGGCCAUUCAUUUUUCGCGCUAUUAAAUUAUAUAAUAUAAAUAAUAAGCGGAUUCUGGCGGUAAUUAAAUCUAGUUAUAUUCAGCAUUUUACGCAUAAUUUAACAGAGCACAAAUAAGUGUGGUGACGAGCUAACAGUAUCGUGUGUGGCAUGCCACAGGUGCCAUGCACAUGACAAUACUCAAAUUACAAUACAACAGUUAACUGUGCUGGUUACUAGUGUAAACUAACGUUUCGUCUGAUGAUGGAUCACUAUGGAAACUACGCCAAGUAGAAGCGGAUUAUGGGUGUUAUGUGAUGAAGUAUCUUGUCAGACUCAGCGGUGGUGAAAUAACCAGGAACAAUAUUUUGUACACUCUUCUGCGUUAAAGUCGACAGCGGGCGAGAUAAUUCCUUGUUGCAUGCAACUGAACUGAGCUGAAUUAUGAACUAUGGGUCUGGAGAUUCCUGUGGGCUGCUAGAGCUCGUGAGUUCCUCUCCCAAGUAAUAACCCACAUUCUACAAACGGGCGAGGUCGAGGGUGAAAGCAACGCAGAUUCCGAAGAAUUAAAUCUUAGUGGAACUAAACCCAUACUCAACAGAACAAAGGCUGCAGACAAGGCUCAAGUCUGUUUAUUGCAAAUGUCAGUAUUACCCGUGUAGUCGCUAAUGUUACACAAUUCAUAAACAAUGAGAUUCGCAGAUUGAGGCAGUAAGUUCCUAUGAACAUCGGUGUGUUUCUACAUGGCGCAAUAUACCAAAAGAUAACCAUCUUCUUAACAUGAUGUUUUUGAAAGAUAAAGCUAUGACAUAUU